GCACUAGUGGUUCGGUAGUAGUAUUCUUGUCUUCCAUGUGGCAGACCUGGGUUCGAUUCCCAGCCAGUGCU
rnacentral:tRNA from 1 species